GGGAAGCGGCAGCUAUACAUGCAGUCGGACGGGAUUCAGAUGUAGUAGCUUGCUACAAACUGAUGAGAGUGGCGCACGGGUGCGUAACGCGUGAGCAACCUACCCAUAUCAGGGGGAUAGCCUCUCGAAAGAGAGAUUAACACCGCAUAACAUCAUUUACCGGCAUCGGAUUAUGAUCAAAUAUUUAUAGGAUAUGGAUGGGCUCGCGUGACAUUAGCUAGUUGGAGGGGUAACGGCCCACCAAGGCUACGAUGUCUAGGGGCUCUGAGAGGAGAAUCCCCCACACUGGUACUGAGACACGGACCAGACUCCUACGGGAGGCAGCAGUAAGGAAUAUUGGUCAAUGGAGGGAACUCUGAACCAGCCAUGCCGCGUGCAGGAUGACUGCCCUAUGGGUUGUAAACUGCUUUUGUCAGGGAAUAAACCUUUCCACGUGUGGGAAGCUGAAUGUACCUGAAGAAUAAGGAUCGGCUAACUCCGUGCCAGCAGCCGCGGUAAUACGGAGGAUCCAAGCGUUAUCCGGAUUUAUUGGGUUUAAAGGGUGCGUAGGCGGUCCUAUAAGUCAGUGGUGAAAGACGGCAGCUUAACUGUCGCAGUGCCUUUGAUACUGUAGGACUUGAAUCUAUUUGAAGUGGGCGGAAUAAGACAAGUAGCGGUGAAAUGCAUAGAUAUGUCUUAGAACUCCGAUUGCGAAGGCAGCUCACUAAGUUAGUAUUGACGCUGAUGCACGAAAGCGUGGGGAUCAAACAGGAUUAGAUACCCUGGUAGUCCACGCCCUAAACGAUGAUAACUCGAUGUUUGCGAUACACAGUAAGCGUCCAAGCGAAAGCGUUAAGUUAUCCACCUGGGGAGUACGGUCGCAAGAUUGAAACUCAAAGGAAUUGACGGGGCCCGCACAAGCGGAGGAGCAUGUGGUUUAAUUCGAUGAUACGCGAGGAACCUUACCCGGGCUUGAAAGUUA
rnacentral:rRNA from 1 species